CCCUCCCAUGCAUACUGCCUCCUUGCUCCUCAGAAAGUCAAGUCCUUCUAAAAUUCCCCAAAUGUUCCUGAGAGAAAUUCCCUGUGAAGUGGUUCCAGAUGCAGACACCCAGUGUGACACACCAGUCACUUGGUCCUGCAUCCAUGUGUGAAGACUUUUUAGUAGGUCAGAAUGUGAUUCAGGAAACUUUGACAGUUUCGGCACCACUUUCUGCAGCACUGUUAGGCUGGAGCUCUGUUUUCCCCCAUUUGCCCGAUAAAUGUACGUGACCCUGUUGGAAAUUUAGACUAAUUUUGU